CCUGAUUUUCAGACUUGUUUUUCCUUCCCAUGCUAUUUCACACUGACACAUCCUCUUUGCUCUGUGGGUUCUUUGACAUUUUCAUCUGGACACAACGCACCUGUGGAGAAGCUACAGCAGGGAUGGCUCCUCCUUCCUCUGGCUUCUCCCUGAUUACUCCUGAUGCACAGCACCUGCUCUAAUCAGCACACCUGCCAUCCAUCAGCUCAUGAGCCAGACAGUAUAUCUUCCCCAGAUCACCAGCCGCUCUUCGCCAGAUCAUUCAGUCAGCUACAGUGGUAGUCACGUGCUCUCGGCCGCUCGGUCUUUGUGAAACUCUGACUUAUUUCUUUAAGUUCUAUGCCUUGUGUACUAAUGUUAAUUCUCCUCUGCUCUCAGGUGCUCUCUCACCACCUGGUUAUCUCUGUCUGCCUGCCGAUCAGCCUGCUGCCCACACCAUCUCCUCACCUGUUUCAUCCCGUGUUGCAAUAAAUCCCUUUUUACAUAUACUAUUGAA